rnacentral:rRNA from 1 species
AGUGAACGCUGGCGGUAGGCCUAACACAUGCAAGUCGAACGGCAGCACAGUAAGAGCUUGCUCUUACGGGUGGCGAGUGGCGGACGGGUGAGGAAUACAUCGGAAUCUACUUUUUCGUGGGGGAUAACGUAGGGAAACUUACGCUAAUACCGCAUACGACCUACGGGUGAAAGCAGGGGAUCUUCGGACCUUGCGCGAUUGAAUGAGCCGAUGUCGGAUUAGCUAGUUGGCGGGGUAAAGGCCAACCAAGGCGACGAUCCGUAGCUGGUCUGAGAGGAUGAUCCGCCACACUGGAACUGAGACACGGUCCAGACUCCUACGGGAGGCAGCAGUGGGGAAUAUUGGACAAUGGGCGCAAGCCUGAUCCAGCCAUACCGCGUGGGUGAAGAAGGCCUUCGGGUUGUAAAGCCCUUUUGUUGGGAAAGAAAAGCAGCAGGUUAAUACCCCGCUGUUCUGACGGUACCCAAAGAAUAAGCACCGGCUAACUUCGUG